rnacentral:lncRNA from 1 species
GGGGUAGUUACUGUUUGUUAUUAUUGCAUGCGAUGGUAUUUAUGUUUCCUAUAUUUACAUAAUCAUUUACGUUAUUUCUGCAGGAUUUACUAAUGCUUUAUUGUUUUGUUUUGUUUUGUUUUUGUUUCUAAUUUUGUCUUUGUUUUUGUUUUUGUUUUUGUUCUAAUGCUGCUUUUCAUUUUAUCCUAUACGGCGAGGGUCG